UUUCCGUAGGUGAACCUGCGGAAGGAUCAUUAAUAAAUUUUUUUUGAAAUAAAAAAAAAAUAAUAAUCAUCCUACCCUUUGCGAAUUUGUUUUGUUGAAUAAUUUUUUAAAAUUAUUUAUUGUCUAUCCAAGUUGGAAAGUUGUAAAAGACUGAAGACUUGGAGCGGCAUAAAUAAAUUUAAAGACUUUUUCUAAAAUUAAACUUUUUGUAUUCAUUUGUCUAGAAUAAUUUUUAUAAUAUAUAAAAACAACUUUUGACAAUGGAUCUCUUGGUUCUCGCAACGAUGAAGAACGCAGCAAAAUGCGAUAAGUAAUGUGAAUUGCAGAAUACGUGAAUCAUCGAAUCUUCGAACGCAUAUUGCACUUUUUUAGUUUACUAAAAAAGUAUGUCUGUUUGAGUAUCAGUAAAAUAUUCUCAUAAAAUUUUUUAAUUUUAUGGUUAUGAGUGUUUUACAACGAUAAACAAGUUGUUUCACUUUAAAUUGAAUUUUUUGAAGAAAUUCUUUAAUUCAAAUUAAAUUUGGAUAAAAUUUUCCCGUAAAAAGGAAUAACUAUACAAGUUUAAUAAGAAUUUAGUGAUUUCUUUUAUGAAAAGGAAAUUUAUUAAAUAACUUGAUCUCAAAUCAGAUAAGAGUACCCGCUGAACUUAAGCAUAUCAAUAAGCGGAGGAAAAGAAACUAACAAGGAUUCCCCUAGUAACGGCGAGUGAAGCGGGAAGAGCUCGAAUUUGAAAUCUUAAAGGGUUUCCCUUUACGAAUUGUAGUUUAAAGAAGUGUUUUCUGUUGAGGUUUUGGUAAAAGUUCUUUGGAAUAGGACAUCAUAGAGGGUGUGAAUCCCGUAUUUGACCUUUACUUUCAACUUUGUGAUACACUUCCAAAGAGUCGGAUUGUUUGGGAAUGCAGUCCAAAAUGGGUGGUAAAUUUCAUCUAAAGCUAAAUAUUGGCGAGAGACCGAUAGCGAACAGUACCGUGCGGGAAAGAUGAAAAGAACUUUGAAAAGAGAGUUAAACAGUACGUGAAAUUGUCAAAAGGGAAGCGUUUGACACCAGUGUUGUUUUUCUGAAAAUCAAUUAAAGAACUGUUUAUGCUAAGUUGUUUAGACUUUAUCAGCUAACUGUUUAGUUUUGAGCUUUUCUUUAAUGCACUUUUCAGUUAACAAGUCAACAUCAAUUUCUUUUGCUGUAAAAAAGCUUGAGGAAGGUGGCUUGAGAUUCGUCUUAAGUGUUUAUAGCCUCUUGCCUAUGCAGUCGGAGAGAUUGAGGUCUGCAGCGUAGAUCCUUCGGGCUAAAUGCAUUUGUGCUAAGUUAUAGCAUUUUAUAGACAACUUGUUGACUAUGAUUUGUCUUGUAGCUUACUCGCUUAUGUUAUUUUACCUACGCUUAGGAUGUUG
rnacentral:misc_RNA from 1 species